rnacentral:rRNA from 1 species
GACGAACGCUGGCGGCGUGCUUAACACAUGCAAGUCGAACGGAAAGGCCCUGCCUUGUUGGGCUGCUCGGGUGGAGAAGGGGUGAGUAACACGUGGGUAACGUGCAACUGACUUUGGGAUAACUUCAGACAACUGAGGCUAAUACCGGAUAGGAGCUCUUGCUGCAGGGUGGGGGUGGGAAAGUUUCGGCGGUUGGGGAUGGACUCGCGGAUCAUCGGCUUGUUGGUGGGGUAGUGGCUUACCAAGGCUUUGACGGGUAGCCGGCCUGAGCGGGUGACCGGCCACAUUGGGACGGAGCUGAGGCCCGGACUCGAACGGGAGGCAGGGGUGGGGAAUAUUGCACAAUGGGCGGAGGCCUGAUGCAGCAACGCCGCGUGCGGUAUGACGGCCUGCGGGUUGUAAAGCGCUUUCGCCUGUGACGAAGCGUGAGUGACGGUAAUGGGUGAAGAAGCACCGGCUAACUACGUG